rnacentral:lncRNA from 1 species
ACCAAUUGGACACCUGUAACUCUGUCUAAUAAACUCUACUGCUUUUUUGAACCCCUAGACUAAGCCACAGAACCUGCACGGAGGAGGGGGGUCAAUACAGAUGUAAUGAUACUCAAAGUAAUCUAAAAUAAAGCUUUUAUAUAAAUAAAAUAGUUGAGAGAAACUUUGUCAAAACAUCAUACAUCAAGUGGUUUUCAAAACACACGAGCACUUUCUGAAAACAUGAACCUUUUUGAAAAAUGCAAAUUUCGAUCUUUAUAUUACUUUUGAGUUAGGUGGCACUCCCCUAAAAGUCUGAUAUUCCACGGGCUAUAUGGAACUAGCCAUUGACUCGGCGGGGAAGCCCCCAAACCAAGUGUGCCGCAAGGGUUGGAGUGUCUGAUUCUGAUAUGCCACAGGGCUCUAGGCCAGCAUAAUAUAUAAACCCGGAUCGGCAAAUCACAGUUUUGGGCAAUGAGUUAUCUAAACUCAUGACUUCUUAGGGGAACCACCUAAGCUCUCUUUAUGCCCAAUUUUAUCCUAUUUUGAAUUCAUGCAUGUUUCUAGUUUCAACAUCUAAAAAGUCUGAAUUCAAAUAUGCAUUCUAUUCUGUUCUGAAUUAUCAUGGCAUAAUCUGAAUUGGUGUCGUCACACCAAGACUUGCAAGUCCUAUUUCUGAACCAUAAUGUCGCAUGCAUAAAUCUUUCAUUAAAAUACAGUUCAGACUACCCAAAAAUGCAGACAGUAUGAAAGAUUUCAUGUUCCAAAAACACAAGUCCAAACUACACUGAGAUUAUUCAAACAUAUGGUGGUCAUGUUCUUUUGGCAAAAUCAUACACUCUUUCAUUAUAUGAAUACUGUCAACAUUCAUCAACAUAAACAACCCUCUCUCUUUUGUAAUCAAAAUCAUAAUCCAAUUCAAGACAUUUCAUAACAUGUUUUUCAAGAUGCAUUCAAACGAUUUCAUUGUAUAACAUAAGUAGAUGAAAAUCAUCACAAGAGAGGAAUUUUUCAUGAAUCACUCUCUCAAUUUAAUAAUCAACCUUAAAACACAUGCUUACAAUAUAUAUACAAUUAUAAAUCAAUUUGGGGAAGGCCUAAAGACCAAAACAAUAUCAUCAAUGUUUCUAAAACAUGAAUAUAUUCAUAAAUCUGAAAACCCUUUCUUAAAAUCAUGAUUUCUAUGCCCAUGAGAUUUUAGGAAAACCCCGCGUAUCUCUACUUCAGAAAGUAAUGGGUGAUUCUUGAAGCUUGCGGAUUGGGGAUUCCGAAUCUCUAAUUAUCUUCUAAAACUCACGGUUGAAUCUUAAGUAAUUUGGGUUUUUAUUUUGAAACACUAAGGAUGUUCUUGAUGAUUUUGGUGAAAAAGUGAGUAAUGUGGUCUCUUGGGAUAAAAAUCCCGUGUUUGGGCGUAUUAGAAUAAGGGAAAAUUACCCAAUUUCCCUUUAAGACGCGGAUUUUUAAAAGCUGAAAUAACUGGGCAUCGACGUUGCAGGCAACGCGGCGCGUUGGUUGACCAACGUGAUACUCGACGCGUCGCUCCGCCAUCGCAUCGAGCCUCAGUAUUUUUCCUGGCAUUUCCUGCACAAAAUUUGACCAACGCGAUGCGUGAUGCGGUGAGCCAAGAUCGCAUUGGUCCACUGUCUUGGAACACCAAACAAUGUCUAAAAACGCUUCAAAAAAUCUGAAACUCGUCCGAGAUGUGCUACAACUUUUCCCCAUGCAACACAAUAAGAAAAUCUAAAAUUUGACGUCGACAGGACUGAAAAUGAGAUUCCCGAAGGUGAAGAGCUAAAAAUGAGACUAAAUCUCUUUGACACUUAGAAUAUUUUCAAGUUUCUAACUCAAAAAGCAUACCAUUACCAUCUAAUCCCAUGAAAUAUUUUUAUGAAGUGUUACAUUAUCCCCCCUGGAUCAUUCGUCCCCGAAUGAUGAUGUAGAACACACCGACAAGCAUGAUUUCUGCAUACAAAGGUAUAAGAAAGAAUAAGACGAGGAGUGUACCUUCCAUUUCGCCACUUGCCGGCUUAAAUAAGUUGGGGUAUCUAUUCCUCAUGUCAUCUUCUGAUUCCCAAGUUGCUUCUUCAACUUUCUGAUUCCUCCAUAACACUUUAACUGAGGCUAUCUCCUUGCUCCUCAAUUGUCUAACUGACGAUCUAAUAUUGCUAUAGGCUCUACUUCAUAAGAUAAGGAGUCUGUCACUUUGAUUUUUCAACGGGCAAUACUAAUGAAUGGUCUCCAAUACACUUCUUUAGCUUGGAUAUGUGGAAUACCGGGUGAACAGAACCUAAACUCAUAGGAAACUCUAACUCAUAUGCAACUCUACCUAUCCUCCUCAAAGUCUGAUAUGGUUUAAUAUAGAGAGGACUCAAUUUACCUUUCUUCCCGAAUAGCAUGACUCCCUUUAUAAGAUAAACUUUUCGAAAAGCCCAAUCACCGACCUCAAACUCUAAAUCUCUUCUUCUAAUAUUGGUGUAAGAUUUCUAAUGACUCUGAGCUGUCUUAAGUUUUUCCCUAAUAAGUUUCACAUCUUCCAUCGCCUGAUGAACAAGAUCAGGCCCAAACAUCUGCGCCUCGCCUACUUCAUACCACCCUAUUGGUGACCUACAUCUUCUCCCAUAUAGUACCUCAAAGGGCACCAUCUUAAUACUAGAAUGGAAACUGUUAUUAUAAGCAAACUCUAUCAGUGGACAAUGCUCUACCCAACUACCUUUAAAAUCAAUCACACAGGCCCUCAACAUGUCCUCAAGGGUCUAAAUGGUCUGCUUAGCCUGCCCAUCUGUCUGAGGGUGAAAAGCAGUUCUUAGAUUCACCUGGAUACCUAAACCUCUCUGGAAAGAUGUCCAAAACUUGGAAGAGAACUGUUUACCUCGAUCGGAUAUGAUGGACACAGGUGCACCAUGCAAACGAACUUCAGCAAUGAACUGCUUGGCAUAAUCCUCUCCCAAAUAGUUAGUCCUAACAGGCAGAAAAUGAGUUGACUUGGUCAGUCUAUCUACAAUUACCCAUAUAGAAUCAUACUAGUUUCGGGACUUCGGAAGUCCUAUAAUGAAGUCCAUAUUAAUCAUCUCCCACUUCCAUAAGGGUAACGCUAUCUCUUGGCAGGAACCACCUGGCCUCAUAUGUUCUACUUUAACUUGUUGGCAAUUCAAACACUUGGAAACAAAUUUAGCCACAUCACACUUCAUAUUAUUCCACCAAUACAUAGAUUUCAGAUUAUGGUACAUCUUAGUAGAGCCUGGGUGAACAACAUACCUCGAAGUGUGAGCUUCAUCAAGGAUUCUACUCUAUAACCCAUCAACAUAUGGUACACAUAAUCUACCCUGGUACCUCAAAAUACUAUCACCACCAAUUUUGAAGGACACCACCUUCUGUUGACCCAUAUCUUUCUUAAUCUGCAUCAAGAUAGGGUCUUUGACCUACUUCUCUUUAACUUUCACACAAAGGGAAGACUUAGCUAUCUCAUGAACAACCAUUCCCCUAUCUUCGGAAUCCAAGAGUCACACUCCUAGAUUUGCAAGCCGAUGAAUAUAUUUCACCAUCUCUCUCUUCCCUUCCAUAACAUGAAAAAGAUUGCCUAUAGACAAUCUGCUGAGGGCAUUGGCUACAACAUUUUCCUUACCCGGAUGAUAGUAAGGGCUCAUUUCAUAGUCUUUCAAAAUCUCCAUCCAACGCCUCUGCCUGAGGUUUAGUUCUUUCUGCAAGAAAGCAUACUGCAAACUCUUAUGGUCAGUGAAAAUAUCAAUAUGCACCCCAUACAAAUAUUGCUUGAAUUGUCCAAACAAGGAAGUGUGUCUCCUUACAAAUGUCGAUCGAAUUACCAAACAAGAAAGUGCAUCUCAUUGCAGAUGUUGCUUGAAUUACCAAACAAGGAAGUGCAUCUCCUUACAAAUGUUUCUAGAAUUAUCCAAACAAAGAAGUGCGUCUUCUUACAAGUGUUGCUUGAAUUAUCCGAUCAAGAAAGUGUGUCUCCUUACAAAUGAUGCUUCAAUUACUAAACAAGGAAGUGCGUCUCCUUACAAAUGUUUCAUGAAUUGUCCAAACAAGGAAGAGCNNNNNNNNNNNNNNNAAGAGCGUCUCCUUAUAAGUGUUUCUUGAAUUACUCGAACAAGGAAGUGCAUCUCCUUACAAAUACCGCUUGAAUUACCCAAAUAUGGAAGUGUGUCUCCUUAUAAAUGCUGCUUGAAUUACCCAAACAAGAAAGUACGUUUCCUUAAAAUUGUUACUUGAAUUACCAAACAAGAAAGUGUGUCUCCUUACAAAUACCGCUGGAAUUACCAAACAAGGAAGUGCGUCUCCUUACGAAUUUCGCUAGAAUUACCAAACAACAAAGUGUGUCUCCUUACAAAUGUUGCUUGAAUUACCCAAACAAGGAAGUGUGUCUCCUUACAAAUGUCACUUGAAUUAUCCAAACAAGGAAGUGCUUCUCCUUACAAAUGCCGCUGGAAUUACCAAUUUGGGAAGUACGUCUCCUUACAAAUGUUGCUGAAAUUACCAAACAAAGAAGUGUGUCUCCUUACAAAUACCGCUUGAAUUACUAAACAAGGAAGUGUGUCUCCUUACAAAUAUUUCUUGAAUUACCAAACAAGGAAGUGUGUAUCCUUAGAAAUGUUUCAUGAAUUCUCCAAACAAGAAAGUGUGUCUCCUUAUGAAUGCCAUUUGAAAUUUUCAAAGAAAUGCGUCCCCUUAAGAAGGAAGUGUGCUUCCUAGAGAUCUUGAAUUAUAAGUUUUACCGUGGUUUUGAUUACCAAAACUAUGCAACAAUAUUGCCUCUUGCAUUUGUAGAAGGGAGAAAUAACAUCCUUUGAUGUUUAGGCUCUGAAAUCCUUGAUCUGAAUGCAAUAUGUGUUCUUGUUUCAUACAAAGAAAACUUGUGAGUUUAAAAACAUGGUGGCUGGUUUGUGGCUUUGGAUUUUGAGUCAAUCUCUCUUGCCCCAAUCACGUUUAACCUUGCUUACAACCACUAGCAUAUGCCAUUAACUUGUUGCAUUGUUGACCCAAACUCAGAUUAUUAAGAGUGACUCUAAAACAAACAAGGUAUCUCUGCUUCGCCAUGCUCAUCAGAUAAACCCUUUGAACCUUGGUAUUUCUAUGAGUUCCCAAACUUGUCUAUUGAAAAAUUUUUGUAUGUCUUAUUUCAGCUCAUAAUCAUGUCUUUUGCAUGUGCUGGCCAUUUUGUCUUGCUUUGUGCAAUUGAAGAAGCUGGUAGCCAGUUUUGAAAUCUUUUCUCACUUGUUUUUGACACGAACUUGACUCAAAGACAAGAGAAGAAACAAAUGACAAUGAUUUUUUAUAAAAAUAACUGACUCAAGAAAGAUAAAACAAAAAUAAAGACAAGAAAGAAAAGACAAUGAAUGUCCUCUUUUGAAACAAAGGAACAAAAAUUUAUCUAAAAAUGACAGUCAAAUCUAAUGAUUAUGCCAUGCAUUUUGGAUUAAGAUACCUAAUCUUUCCAUCCAAACGCUUACCAAAUGUGGUUGAGUUAAUGUCCUAGAAAAUGAGUCACUUCCUUAGAUCAAUUGCAUUUAAGACCUCAUUCGGCUAGUGACAACUUGAAGUAUUUUUGCCAAUAAGCCUCUCUCAUUUUUCUCUCAUCUCACUAUCACCUUAUGGUGUCCGUGAGGAUUUUCACCAAUAAGACUCUUUCAUUUUUAUCUUGACUUACCAUCACCUUAUGGUGCCUGUGAGGGUUUUCACCAAUAAGACUCUCUCAUUUUUAUUUCUCUACUGAUUCUACUGAGGAAGACAAGUAGUUCCCAAAAUGCGUCAUUAUAUCCAUUCCAUGCUUAGCCGUGACAUUUUCAAAUAUUGGUCUGAAGGUCUUUCUUUGGUUGUAAUUUGGCUUUUGGAUAAGGUUAGAAAGAAAUGAUGGCAUGGGGCCCAAACGACACUUAAAGUGGGGUAAGACUUACAACUUUUGGAAUCGACUCAAACAAUGAGGAUUAACUCAUGCCCCAGUUUUUGACUGGGCAAUUCUAAAUUGUUUAUUUGGUUGGAUCGAGCCACGGGUAGGGCAGCCUACGUAUCUCGGCCUUGAAAGAGGAGAAUCAGGUCACGUGUAGUUCUGGCAACUUGUUCUUUCUUUUGAUCUGAUUUUUCCUUAUUUUUUCUUUUAUUGGCUCUUUUCUCUUUUGAAUUCUUUUUCUGAAUCCAUUUUUCUUGACAUUCUUUUUUCUCUUUUUGGACAUAUUUUUUUCUCUCUACCCCUUUUUUUGGAAACUUUCUGACUCUAUUGUCUUGCUUGAUACUCUUCUUUUGAGCUUUGCUUGCUUUAUCUUGAUUCAAAAAUAGGGGUAUGAAAGAAAAUAACACUAAGGCUCAAAUGGGGUAAAUAAAGGAUGACAUAAUGUUUGGAUAGCAGAAUGAAAUGCCUUCGUCAUAUCAAUCCUUGAAAAUGCAAUUACAUGUCAUGCAAUAUAAAAGUGAGAGAUGAAGAUCAUUUGUGACAUCUUUUUAAGCAUUAACUUUGACUGAGUCUGUGCGUCACUACUUCUACUCUUUUCUAGCAUACAAAACUUUUGUUGUACAUUCCUCACAUUGAAUGACUUAUGCUUUCAUGAAGUUGAUUUUUGUUCUGAUCCUCGGGAGCACACAUAUGCUAUUUGACCUAAUUGAGCUAUGUUUUUCAAUUGAUGACCAAGUUAUUCUUUUGAUUCUCAAAAUAAUUACCUUAAUUUUCAAAGAAGGCUUGAACUUGUCACCAAAUGUCUCAGCACUCUACCUAUUUUCUCAGAUUCUCUCUUUUUCUAUAUUUAACCCUCUAAUUCAAUGUUCAUGCUUACAUUGAAUUUUAAGAUAUGGCUGAAAAUUUCACUAGCAUAUCAUAUCACUAGAGUUAACAUAGAAUGUACUAUGUAAAGAAAACAAACAAACAACAUAUAUUUAAAACACAAAAGAAAAAAGGGACACUCUAUUUAAUUAAAAUGAAAGAUAGAAGGGUUUGAACAUAAACAAAAAAAGAACAAAACAAGAUAGAUCCCGAACUACAACCCUAAAAUAAUUCGGACAACAGAAAAUAAAACAAAACAAGCUACGAGACCUCUUCUUACUAGGGAGAGGGGUAACUUCUCAUUGCUAAGCCUGACAUCUUAGCCACUGGUUUUCAUAUCAACAUGACUAGAGAUUUCCUCACUGUCAAUGUUCUGCACCAUAAUUGAUUUAUCUUGAAUCAUCUUCUCAAUUUCUCUUUUCAAAGCACGACAAUCUUCAAUACUGUGACCCUGAACAUCAGAAUAAUAGGUACAUUAUACAUUAGGAUUAAAGCUUCUUGCAUGUGGAUAAAAAGUAUACCCAAGGAGAGGAUUGAUCAUGCUCUGCUGUGCCAAUCUCUAGAAUAAACUCUCAUACGACUCUCCAAAUUGUGUGAAGUUACCACUCGACUUCUGCCUCAUUUCAUUGUUUAGCUUGGACUAAAAAUCUGGCCUAGAAGGGCUUUGGUAUAUUUGUGGAGUUAGAGGAUGACUCUGAGAAGUUGCUUGCACCAUUGUGGGUAAGAUGAGGGUUGGACAUAUGGUUGUGCAUUAUAUACUGGAUAUGGAAGUGGGGGAAUAGAGUAUAAUGGAUUUUGGAAAAGAUUUUGUGGAGCUUGGGCAUAAACUUGAGUUUAAGCCUGUGGGUAACGAUGGCGUGGUCCUCUUGCCCGUGCCUGUUAUCCAAUUACAAUGGCAUAUGCAUCUUCCUCAUUCUUCUUUCCUCCCACACUUCCCAAACCUUUUUGAAUUGCUUGAGUAGUCUCUUUUAAUGUUGCAAAACUCACAAUGCGACCAGUCUUAAUUCCAUCCUCUGUUAUCUCCCCCAUUUUGAGGACCUUAAUAAAUGGCAUGCCUAAUGCAGGUAACAAGUGUUGAUGAUAUGUUUCAUCCCGUGCUUGAAUAAACGCCUCCACUAUCUUACUUUCUUUCAUUGGAAGUUCUACCCUAGCAGUUUGUUCAUGCCAUCUAAUCGCAUACUCUCUGAAAGUUUCAGUACUCUUUUUCUUCAUAUUAGUUAGGAAUUUCUCAUCAGGAAUCAACUCCUUAUUGUAUUGAAAUUGUUGCAAAAAUUCAUUAGCCAGGUCAUCCCAGCUAUUCUAAUUGUCGAUGUCUUGGUCAACAAACUAUUCUGAAGCUAGACCUAAAAGACUCUCCCCGAAAUAUGCCAUGAGUAAUUCUUCAUUCCCUCCAGCGCCCCUUAGCUAGUUGCAAUAGUGUCUCAAAUGUGCUAAAGGAUCUCCAUGUCCAACAUACUUCUCAAACUUUGGCAUUUUAAAACCAAGAGGAAGAUGUACACCAGGAAACAUACAUAGAUCUUUAUAUGAGACACUUUUGUACCCCCCAAGUCCUUGCAAGUUUUUCAUAGAUAGUUCCAAACUUCUCAAUUUUUUGGCCAUUUUCUCUUAUUCUUCUAUCAUAACAGGCUUCUCAGUGUUAGGAGGAAAUUCAGGCGGUUGAGUACAAUCGUAAGGACCAGUCGACUUAAAUGUGGGCUCGGGAGCAUAAUGUUGAUCACUAAAAAUAUUCUAUACAAGGUCGCUUGUAGAGUGAAGAAUCAUAACCGUUGGAUUGACAUUAAAAGCAGGAGCUUCAGAAGAGAGUGGGGCUACAAAAGCAUGAAUAGCAGGCGGAGCCGAGCAUGUGGUAAUUUUGUAUUGAUGAGUGAGGAAAUAAAUAUUGGAAGUGUUUGGAUACUGUUUCCCCAGAGUAGGUCCUGAUGCAUGUUGUGGUGUGUUGACCAAACUAGGGAAUUGUGCAUGUGACACUAGAGGCAAAUUAGAAAGAUAUUCCAGAUUAUCAACAGGAAAUUGAGGAGGCCGCAACCCAUUAGCCCAAGCUCGAUGCAUUUCUAUAAUUUGUUACCUUAAUUUCCAAAUCUAUUCAUUAGCUCCUACAUUCUCAUUCCCCGAACUCCCUAUCUGAUUAGUGACAACUAACUCAGUAUCCUUGUUCGCAUAACUUUCUCUAUGACUUGGAGCAAUAUAGAGAACCAGCCAAAAUUCCACAACCAACCACCUUAAACUAACUAAACAAGAGAUAGCAAAUGCAUUAGACUUCAACACUUUUUUUCAUACUUUUUUUUUGAAAAGGUCACCAAACCCAAGAGGGGCGCCUACAUAUCUCACCCCCAAAAGAGGAGAAUCAGGUGCACGUAGUUCAUGAAGUCUUGGCAAAAUGGCCAAUCAAACUCUUUUUUUCUUGAAACGAAGUGUCAAAAGAAUUGACAGAAAUAUUUUUGCAUUUUUCAAGUUUAAACUCCCUAUACAAAACGAAACCUAUGAUUACCAAAAAAAAAAAAUUUUUGGGUUUUCGAUUUUUGAAUUUCAUGCGAAAAUGAAACUUGAACCUAUUAAAGGAAAAUCUUUUUGUAGUUUUCUUUUAACGAUGCAUAUGACACCCACUCUAAAUACAGAGUGACAAAAAAUAAAUUUUUGAAAUAAGAUCCCCAAACCAAUAAUAGGCUGCCUACAUAUCUCACAUCCCGAAAGAGGAGAAUCAGGGGUGCGUAGUUCAUCUAGAUUGGACAAUUAAGGAAUAAAAUGAACUAAGACUUGACCUGAGAGACGCGAUUAUAGACGGACGAUGAGAAAUAAAAUCUUUUUGGGUUUUUCAAUUAGACACUUCACAAACAUUGACAUCAACAACUAUGAAAGAAAAAAACUUUUUGGUAUUUUUAAGAAAAUGAGUGUGAGAGGUAAAAAAUAUCUUUUUGAAUUUUUAAAUUGAGAAAAACAAAAGCCAUAAAGAACUCAAAAAAUAAGAAAAUCUUUUUUUUUCUCUGCCUACACACUUUAUUUCUAACACAUGUUUUCCCCAAAUCAGUCCGUCAAAUGACCCCAUUACCCUCAAAGAUGCAACAUUUAGCACGUAGGGAUGCGUCAGAGGUGAGUCUCCUACAAAGGAACAAAUGGGCUCCACUAGGUAUCUCAAUAUGAUGCACAUAAGUAUGACCAAAAGGCUGACCUACGCUGGAGUUUACUAACAAGGCUGUUCGGGGGAGCGUAUGGUCCAUAGUAGCUGCUUUAGCUGUCCACCUACUCCAUACAGGCCAACGGCUCUUCCCCUAAGAUAAGGCUGACUCAACUAGAGGUCGUGUACACAGUGUGUACUACGGACUUGCUUCAGAAAGAAUGACUCGGGUUAUACACAUGAUGCCAGAUAUAAAACAGUAACCCAUAAGAUAAAAACUUUAAAUAAAUAGCCCGUAAGAACUCAACAAUGAUAAACAAUAACACAAAACAACACAAAAAAAAUGUCUAUACACCUAUAGUGCUAAACUAAGCCGAUACGACUCCAAAAAAUAAGCUAGAAUUUUGAAAAUUCCCUUGCAAAGUCGCCAAAGCUGUCAUAGCCCUUUUUCUACCGAAAAAGAUUCAUUUUAAGUCCAAAAGUGUUUUAUUAUUAAAGUGACAAAAGAUGAAAAUUGUUUCGAAAAGGAUUUAUUAGUUUCAAAACUCAGAGUAGCCACUUGGAAUAAAUCGGGUGUGCAAAGUCACCCGUGGAUAUCCUUUUUCAAAACGAUUUUGACUCUAUAAAAAUGAUCCGUGAACAGAGAUUCCAGCUAAGGAAUUUUGUUGACCGAGGAAAAAGUGUUAGGCACCCCUCAAUCCCGUGGUUUGACCACGGUAUCUUGGUGGAGUGUAUCGGCUAAUUUGACACUACGAAUAUAUAAACCACACAAAUACACGCAAAAAACUCAAUCAAGCAAACAAAAUUCAAAACCAAAAUAAUGUCUGAGUUAUACAUCCUAAAAAAUAGAAAAAUACGAAAAUAUAAAUCCUAUUCUAAACUAAUCCUAGACUCAUGCUUUAAUUCUUUACCCGUGCCUCGGGCCUUCAUCACGAACCCCUUUUGUGAACAUGAUACGACGGGGCAUUCCUCGGCGAAUAAGUACAAUGUGACCUCGGGGAAUUCCCCGGUUAAAUGAAUACAUUUCUUUCAAUACGAGAAACCAAACCAUUCAGCACAAUUUCAAACAUGCAACAAAACCACGAGUCCUAAGUUUGCCUUCCCUGAACCUAAGAUUUGCAUAACGACCCUCGACCUAAAAUAUGCUAUUAUCGAGAUCAACAUAAUUAACAUUCAUUUCAAUUUAAACAACCAACAACAAAUCGACAUAAACCCACAUUCAUGUUUAUUAAUUCUUCGAUUCCCGCCCUAAUUUCACUCUUAACCAAGGAUAAUCAACAUUAAUAUGAAAUCAACCAAUCAAAAUCACCACUGCAACAAUUAAAAUUGCUCAAAAACACACAAUCAAAACAUAUCAACAAUUCACACCAUCACUCACAUAAGAUUGACAAAAUUAUAAAGAAAGAGAUGAAAAUUGGACCUCAAAUUUUGCCUCAAUCAACCAAAUUCCUUUAGCAAUCUCAUUAUUUCAUAGAAAGAGCAUCGAUCAAAACCAAGCCAACCUCAAACCAACAACGACCUCAACUCGAACCCAAAAUUGAAUUGAAUUUGACCAAAAAAUGGAAUCUAGAACGAGAUUUUUGUAUUUGUUUGAGCUACGGAUGGAAUUCCGAUGAGAUUUGAACUAGAAAAUGAAGGAGAGAAUGGUCUUCCAAUGUGAGUUCAAUCGGAGUGAAGCUGGUGAUGCUGUUUUCUGUAGGUUUUGUCGGAUUUCUCUCUCUUCCUGAUUUGCUGGUUGUUUUGAUCCCACUCUCCUCCCUCUAUUUGUUUUUCUCUCUUCUUACCCCUCUCGAUCUCUCUCAAUUGAUUGUCUGUGACUGAUGUCAUAUGUGUAGAGCUGUGCGUACCUAGUAUUGAUGGAGUAUAUCUAUGAGUGUGUGAUGGUGUGCGUUCUUUAGAAAAAUGGCGUGGAUCAUUGGCGAGGAGUGUAAGUUCUAUCCCCUUUCCUUGUUUCUCUCGUGUGUGUAUGUCCUAGGUUUAGAGAAGGAGAAAACCAAAAAUGGAAAUUCCCCCAAUCCCCCUUUUUGUGGGUUUUGUGCGUGUAUAUGGUGUUCCCAAAAGCAAUGAAGAAAGGAGUUGAUGGCUCAGUGUUCAGCCCCUCCUAAUUGUGAGAUGUAUUUUGUAUAUAUUUUUUGUAGUGGGGAAAAAAUGUGCCAAGGGCGGGGUAUGCAGGUAUAGGAUUAAGUGGUGGGUAGGGUAGUGGUGAGGUGUUCUCAUUUGAUAGGGGUUGUUAGGAUAAACUAAAAUCAGACAAAAUUUGUUAGGGAUUUUGUUAAGGGUUGUUAUUUUUGUAUUUUAUGGAGGGAUAAUUACAUGAUUGAGGGUUCGUGGUAAGUUAAGCUAAAAAAUGGGUAAAAUUAAGUUCGGAAGGGACAAAAUUAGGUGUCCACAUACUUGAAAAGACUAUUCUGACACGCCUCCACAGUUUUGAGCAAACCUAAUAACUGAACUCUUAGUGUCUUCACUUUAGCCCCCGCACCUUCAUCCUAAUGGUCAUCAACUAUUCAUUCUUCCUAUAUUCUCCCUCUAAGAUGCACUGGUAAUGGCUAGAUGAUAUCUCGAGGUAUGGAUCGAAGCCAAACCCCAUAUCCCUAAGUGUACCCCGAAUUAAUCCAAACUUUCUUUGAGAGUGUCCACACCUAGCUUUGUUGCAUGCUUCCAAAAUUGCUCGUAUUUUCUCUCACCUAAGGCUUGGUCCUUGAAGUACUCAACAUCCUUUAGAAGAUCCACUACUGGUGGCACGCCCUACGGCCUACCCAACUGGCAUAUUACCCUAGAAGGACUGUAUGGUCUAGUGCAAUUGAGCCCUAACAUAACCAGAAGGAUCUGCAUCUGACAACCAAACAAUAUUAUCUUUGGUCGAAGGCACAGAUAAGUCCACACAAUGUUAUCCUCGGUUCUUGACUCAAUAAAUUCAAUCCAAGCAUCGACUCCCAUGGGUAGCGAGAAUUUAUCCAAAUGCAACCUGAGGUCCAUGGCUUCCACUCGAUUGGGAAUACAAUGAUCAACCACGUCUGGUCUAACUAAAGAAGGCUCAUGAAAAUGCUCCAUCAUCCACAACCGCAAUACCAUGUUACUGCCCUAAAAAAAUCUCAUUCCUCCCUUCACUUCGGUUAAAGCCUUAUUUAUCUCUAUUAAGAUCAUGGGUAUGAUAGUGAACUUGUCCUUUUGAUUAGUGACCUUGUCCUUUUGAUUAGCAAUCUUGUCCUUUUGAUCCUUACAAAAUAGAGCCAUCACCACAUAUUGGAAACGUGUAUUAAUACGCCUUUCUUCUAGCGGAAACAAUAGAGUGCCUAAUAGAGCGAGGGUGAAGACUUCAAGACGCUUUCUUUCCCACUUCUGCUUAGUCAUAUAAAAUUCAUCCCAAAAGUGGUUAAAACCUUCCAAGGACCCAAAUCUAGCGAAUAGAAAGUCUAAGGAAAUCCAUGAUUGAUUCAGACAAUCCAAAUGUCCGUUGUUACUUUUUAAACCACAUCCUUGUAGAAACCUAUUGCCCGAGUGAUUCUGAGCUCGAAUCAUACUUUUGUCAAUAUAUGGCAAAUGAAGCAGACCAGAUAAUUCUGCCAAACUAGGCGUCAUUUCACACUUUUCGAACCUAAACACCAAAUUACUAGGAUCCCAAAAGGUCAACAAAGCAUCUAUUAGAUCUGGAUGGGGUGGGACAUGCAGAAAUUUUGUAAGAUCACCUAAUAUCUUAAUUAGCUCUUGCUUGUCAGCGUAGUUGAACAUACCCCACCACUUGAUUAACUUUUUGGACACUUUGGAAACCAUCAAGACUCUAGACCCUGUAGGCUUCAUCCUAUAAUAACAAACCAAACUUACAACUCAAAAAUUCAAAACAAGACAAAGAACUCCCGACCCUUGAGAUUUUAUCUUAGAAAAAUGUCGUGUGACAUGGAGGGACAGACUGACAUAUAACUCAAAUCUACCGAACAGUAUUGCCGAAUAAAAUCAGCCUACUUGGCAAGAAUCAAUUGACAACACUAGAUUACAAGGAGAAAGACCCUUCUAAGAUGGAGUCAAAGACCAAAGUAGAAAGAUUACUGGACCUGCCGAGGGUUGCCUACGUAUCCCUCCUCGAGAGACAGGAAUCAGGUACGCGUAGUUCAUCCAGAUUACACAAUUAAGAACUAAAGCAAACUAAGGCUUGACUUGAGAGCCGGGAUUACAGACAGACGAUGAAAAUAAAAUCUUUUUGGGAUUUUUAAUAGACACUUUACAUAAAAUGACACCACUAUGAAAUUAAAAUAUUUUUGGUGUUUUCGUACAAAGAUUCUAUCUUUUUUUUUUUCUAAUUUCUUGGAUUAUGAAAAACAAAAUCCAUAAAGAACUCUAAAAACUAUGACACUCCUUUUUUUCUUUUUUUUUUUCAAUUACCCACACACUUUACUUCUAACACAUGUUUUCCCCGAAUCAGUCAGUCAAAUGACCACGUUACCCUCAAAGAUGCAACAUUUAGCACGUUGGGAUGCUUUAGAGGUGAGUCUCCUACGAAGGACCAAGUGGUUCCUGCUAAGUCUCGUCAUGAUGCACAUAAGCAUGACCUGAAGGCUAACCUACACUGGGGUUCACUAACAAGGCUAUUCGGGGGAGCGUAUGGUCAAUAGUGGCUACGACAGCUUUCCACCUACUCCAUACAACCCAACGGCUCCCCCAUUCUAAAAUAAGGGUGACUCAACUAUAGGUCGUGUACACACGUGUACUACGAAAUUGUUGCAGAAAGAAUGACUCGGGUUAUACACAUGAUGCCAGAUAUAAAGCGGUAACACAUAAAAUAAAAACUAUAAACAAAGAGCACGUAGGCACUCACCAAUGAUAAACAAUAACACAAAACAAAACAAACAAAAUGUCUAUAAACCUAUAAUGCCAAACUAAGCCGAUACAACUCCAAAAUAAGUUCGAAUUCUGAAACGUCCCCAGCAGAGUCGUCAAAGUUGUCACGCCCCCUUUUUAACCCAAAAAAAAAUAGAUUUUAAGUUUCGAAAAGGUUUUUAUUAUUAAAAGUGACAAAAUAAAGAUUUUUGUUUCAAAAAGGACUAUUUACCAUUGUUAUUCAGAGUCGCCACUUGGUAUAAUCUGGUGUGCCAAGUCACCAUGGGAAAAUCCUUUUCAAAACCAUUUUGACUCUGAAACUGAUCUGCGAACAGAGAUUCCGGCUAAAGAAUUCUGUUGACCAAGGGAAAGGUGUUAGGAACCCCUCGAUCUUGUGGUUCGACCACGGUCGCUUGGUAGAGCGUAUGGCUAAUUUGACACUACGAACAUAUAAACCACACAAAACACAUAAAAACAUCAAUAAAACAAAAUGAACCCCAAAUAUAAUGUCAGUCCAACUAUACAACCUAAGGUAGAAGAAAUGCAAAAAUAUAAAUCCUAUUCUAACCUAUCCUAAUCCUAAGUACGCUCCCGUGCUACCCUACGCCUCGGGCCUUCAUCACGGACGUCCUCCGAGUACAAAAUACUUUGGGGUAUUCUACAAAUAAAAUAAUACAAGUACUUCGGGGCAUUCCCCGGCCAAAUGAUACAAUUGAAUCAAGUACAAUAAACUAGAAAGUAUUCAACCAAUAUUCCAGAUUCAAACAUUCAACGAAAACUCUUAUUCAUAGGAAUUUUGCCUACCCGAACCUAUAUUCGCCUAUUCAUUUAAACGUAUCAUAAUACUAUCACAUCAAUGACAUUUAAUGAAUCAAAAUAAAUUAAUGAUUGCUUUUUAUCAAUUUCAAUUCCAACCCCUACUUGUUUCAUUUUUUAUCAAUUACACCUCCAAAGUUACUCUGAUUCAUUCCAUCUAUCAACGAAAUCACAUCGUCAAAAAUAUAACAUCAUAACAUCAACAAAAAUCCAACAAUCACCACGAAUAAUCACAACCAAUUCAAAUAAUCAAAAUUAAAGAACGGGGAGACGGGUUAAAGAAAUGGACCUCGAUAAAACGUUCUUGUAUGAUAAUAAAGAAAUCUGAAGACCAAAAUACUCGAAUGGAGAACCUCAACAGCGACAAACUCCGAUUUUGAUUCCAAACUGAUCUCAAUAGACAGGUCAAUACGAAUGAAAAUCAAACCCAAAACCCGAAAUGAGAAUCAAUGAACCCCGCAACCUGAGUUCGAAAAUGAAUCACCAAAACAGACUAAACCAAGGCUUCAACGGUCCAAUAGCCGCUAAAGAAAUUGUAUGACCUAAGCUCUGAUGAGUGAACAAAGACAUGACAACCAAAACAGUGAACAAAGAACAGGUUUUGUCCAAAAAUCAAAGGAAAAUAAAAUGAGUUUUUGAGCGAUUUUGAGGAGAGGUCUAUUGAAAAACGAGAAAGAAACUGAUAUGCGAACUCGAGGUUGAUUUCGGCAAACUUGCCGGAGCUCUCAACCCAGAAUCUCUCUCUCUCUGCUACUCUCUUUCUUUCGAUCUACUCUCUUCUCGCCACCUCACUGUGUGUGUGUGCGCGGUUUUAGUGUAGAAGAAUCGAAGGUUUCUUUUUUUUUUUUUUUUUUGAUAUUUCUCUUCAUGGAGAAGAUGAUAUGAUGAUGAUGGUGAGAGUAAGAAAGAAUGGAAAAGAAAAUGGAGGUGUGUCUAUGGUGGUUUUCAGGAAAGAAUAAGAAGAGCCUAAGAUUUCUUUUCUGUCUAUUCUUG